AAAUAUUUUUUCGAGGAUAUUAUUUGUUUUUCACAUAUACGGCUAUGGUAUGUGAUUGACGAAAUGACAUCUGGAUUUAUGAUGCUGAUUCAUUUAGUUUAUCACUGCGCAAUAAAUGCGCAAAUCUAAUAUUCUUGAAAAUACAAACCCACUGAACCGCAUACGACCAAUGAACGAAGCGAAGGGCGUGACCAGGGUAAAUUUCGAGGAGAUUACGUCACUCAAACUACGAACCAAGGGUAAGCAGGAAAUGCAAAUAAUAUUUGUAGCUAGAAUUCACUCGUUAGCUAAAGUCAAAGGUCAUUUACGGAACAUUUAUGAACUUGCCAACGUUUGUGCCGAGUAGUAAAGCUUCACCUCAUAGCCAGCUCGUUUUCCCUCGGCAAAUUAAUGCCAAAACAUCUGCUAGCCAGUACACUAUAGUUACUGUUAGCUAGCUAAACUAGAUUAAUUUAUUUGUCACAGAUGUAAUCGCAAGGUACGAGUACAGUGCAAUUCUAAUGAUCCAUGCUACAAAAGUGCAGUUCAAAAAAGAGAAGGGAAUGAGAUAGAAUUUAGGGUAUGGAAUGACCAUAAGGGGAGCACGACCCACGAACCCGAGAGCUUGGGUGGCACCAAACCCAGUUCAGCCCCCCAAAUCACAACCAGCACCAGGACAUCAGACAGGGCAGGUGAGACUGGACUGGGUAAUGAAUGAAAGUGUUAACCCUGCUCCUGGAAAACUACUGGGUGUGCAGGCUUCUGUUCCUGACCAGCGCUAACAGAUCUGAUUCAUUAACACCUCGAUUACCUGAAUCAGGUGAGCCCUUCAGUCCAUACAGACAAGGACAGUUCAUGAAGAAACACAAGGUCUACACAUGAGAAAGAGCUGUUUCACUGUCACCUAAAAUCCAUUUGAACAAAUCAUUUUAAUUUUGGUAUUUUAAUUCAUAUGUUGAGUAUAUAGGAAUCUCUUGUUGCUGCUAAAUGCAAAUAAAUAUUUACAUGUGUA